AUUUAUAUAGUUUAAAAUAAAACAUUACAUUUUCAUUGUAAAAAUAAAAUUCACAAUUUUUAUAAAUA
rnacentral:tRNA from 1 species